UGAGAGAAAACAUUUACUGACUGAAAACACACACUUGUGCCCCCCCCUUCCAGCUGAUAAGGACAGAGUGACUGCAGGCACUGAGGUGAGGCACCUGAUGAGCCUGAGCUGGCAGCUCCUCAUUUCUCUUUGCUCAGGACUGGCAGUGCCCAGCACAAAGCAGCCAGGCAUGGGAGCACCAGCUGUGCCUUGGCUUUAUCCUCACAGGAUCCAAAUCCUGCUGCUCUCAGGCCAGCUCAGCAGUGAAGUCUGACACCCUGCUCACACCCACUGUGCUGGAAUGAGCUCUGCUGCUGCCUGAAAGAACAAAGCUGAGCAAGAUGUUCCUGGGCAGGAUCCAGAGCAACUUGUGUCACCUCUUGAUGCAGGCAAGACAGGAGGA